GACGAACGCUGGCGGCGUGCUUAACACAUGCAAGUCGAACGGAAAGGCCCUGCUUUUGUGGGGUGCUCGAGUGGCGAACGGGUGAGUAACACGGGAGUAACCUGCCCUUGACUUUGGGAUAACUUCAGGAAACUGGGGCUAAUACCGGAUAGGAGCUCCUGCUGCAUGGUGGGGGUUGGAAAGUUUCGGCGGUUGGGGAUGGACUCGAGGCUUAUCAGCUUGUUGGUGGGGUAGUGGCUUACCAAGGCUUUGACGGGUGGCCGGCCUGAGAGGGUGACCGGCCACAUUGGGACUGCGAUACGGACCAGACUCCUACGGGAGGCAGCAGUGGGGAAUAUUGCACAAUGGGCGGAAGCCUGAUGCAGCAACGCCGCGUGCGGGAUGACGGCCUUCGGGUUGUAAACCGCUUUCGCCUGUGACGAAGCGUGAGUGACGGUAAUGGGUAAAGAAGCACCGGCUAACUACGUG
rnacentral:rRNA from 1 species